AAAUUCUAGUGCUAAAUGUGGUGAAUUCCGGUCAGUAGCUCAAGGCCCCAGACAGGAGCUAGAAUGUCAGAUCCAAUAAAAGUCAGACAUCUACAAAAGAUCCUUCAAGAGGGAAGGUAAUGAGAGGAAAUUUAUCCACCACCACAGACUAAUGACACUCUGCGAUUCACAUCACAAAAGAAGCUUCCUUCUCUGCCCACUUAACCAAUCCAACCCAAUAAGCAUUUAUUGCCUACUGAUACAAAGCACUGUGCCAGACUUCAGGGAAACAAAGACAAAAAAGAAAACUGUCUCUGACCUCAAGAGCCUUACAUUCAACUGGGGAAUACAGUUGUGUAUUACAUGUGAGAAAGGAAAGACGAUACAUGGUUAUUUGUGAAAGGAGAGAGUAUUUACCACUAAAGGAAAAGUUCCUAAAAGAGAUGGCACAUAAAUUGAGACAGAAGCUAGGAAUGAAUACAAAUAGAUGAACAUGAGGAGAGAAUUCAUUCAAGGAUGAGGAGAGCUCUGCAAAGACAGAAAAGUGGGAUAUGGUAUAUUGAGUUCAGAAACUAACAAGCAGGGCAGUUUGAUUAUAGUAUAGUAUGCAUGCUACAUUCUACAUGAAGUACAUGAAAUUUUGAAUAAUAAAAUAAACAGAACCAAGAGAAAGUUA